rnacentral:snoRNA from 1 species
CCUUUCCAGAUGCCUUCCCUGUCAGGUCUAAAUAUGGAUCUGAGUGGCCAAAAAUGGAGGAAACGUAAAAUUGUAGUCGGCUUGGAGUCUUUAGUGACAUACAAGUUCAUUUGACGCCUAUAGAAAAAAAAA